UCCGGGUAGAAUCUAGGUUCUUUUUCUUUUGUGUGGCGCCUGUGUCCUGUCUGUUGAGUGUUAACCUUACAUUCAUUCCUCGGAACAAGAUGGGAGGAUCAAGCUCCAAAAAUACCCCAUUGGGCUGUUUUCUCACUAGCUUUAAAUUGGCUUUUUCCCCUGAGCAGCAAGAUGAAUAUGGAAUGAAGUUUUCUCGAGGGAAACUCCGAACCCUCUGCAACUUGGAGUGGCCCGCCUUCGGAGUGGGCUGGCCAGCUGAAGGUUCUUUCGAACCAAGACUUUGUUGGGCAGUAUGGGCAAAGGUCAUUGAACACCCUGGCCACCCUGACCAAUUCCCUUGUAUUAAUGUCUGGGCCCAGGCCUGUGAAGAACCUCCGGCAUGGCUGCAGCACUGCUCCCUGCGCACCAGUUCUCGUAUUCUGGUAAUGGUGCCAAAUGGGACAAAGUCCGCAAAGCGACAGGCACCCAGGCCGGUGUUCUCCCAGGAGCCGGACCCCUUAGAGCCUACUGACCCCGGGUUAAGACCCCCUCCGUAUGCAGAACCAUCCCUGGGGAGGCAAAAGUUAAGUCCAUCUACCCAUCUCCCCCGAAAGAAGGGGAGAUCCCGGAUUCCACCACCUCUCCUUCCCGUACCCGAGGGGGCUCUACUUAUGGGCCCCUGGAGGCGCUCCAGGAGAGACGGGACCCAGUCCCUGUGCUCCCAUUGAGAGAAACAGAACAAGGUCAUUAUGUAUACGUUCCUUUCUCUACAAGUGAUUUAUAUAACUGGAAGCACCAGAAUCCCCUGUUUUCUGAGAAGCCGCAAGCCCUAAUCUCCCUCCUCGAGUCUGUGUUUAAUACCCAUUACCCCACCUGGGAUGAUUGUCAGCAACUUUUACAGGCUCUGUUCACAUCCGAGGAAUGAGAAAGAAUUAGAAGACAUGCUAUUCGGUCAGUGCUAGGGAGAGCUGAGGGGCUUGUUGACGACCAACAACAACAGGCCCGAGUUGAAGCACAACUCCCCAUCUCCCGUCCCAAAUGGGAAUCGAAUUCCACCGGAGGUAGGGAAACUCUUCGCAACUACUGUCAGCAUCUCCUGACCGGCCUUAGGGGAGCCGCUCGCAAGCCUACCAAUUUGAGCAAGGUAAGCGAGGUCCUACAAGGGCCUGAGGAAUCCCCCUCUGCCUUCCUGGAGCGUUUACUGGAGGCGUACCGCACAUACACUCUAAUUGACCCAGACGCUUCAGCAAACAGGCAGGCAAUUAAUCUGGCUUUUGUAACUCAGUCGGCCCCAGAUAGAUAUUCGGAAAAAUUUACAGAGAAUUGAGGGCUUUGAAGGAGAAAAUAGGGAAAAAUUGAUAAGUGUAGCAAUGAAGGUGUUCACAAACAGGGAUCCACCCGAAGAUAGAAUAACUAAAAAGAUGGCAAGGGCAAAUAUAAUGAUGAUGGCAGAAGAAGGUUUUAUACAGAAGGGGAGAAAAAUGAAAUGGGGAAAUAAGAAGAAUUUAAACUAAUUGGAGAAGAAGAAAAUUCUCCAGAACAAAAAUGGGACUAUUUGCAAGAAAAAUUCCUCAGGUAUGGGCUGAAACAAACUUACCGGGACUGGCAAAACAUCAAGUCCCUAUAAUAGUCCAAUUGUUGGCCUCUGCCACCCCUGUUCAGGUCCGACAAUAUCCUCUUCGCUUGGAGGCUAAGAUAAAAAUAUCUGAACACAUCCACCAACUUUUAGAUGCUGGAAUAUUGAUCCCAUGUCAGUCAGCCUGGAACACACCCUUGCUGCCUGUAAAGAAACCUGGCACAUCAGACUACAGGCCGGUACAGGACUUGUGGGAGGUAAACAGCCGGGUGGAGACCAUCCACCCGAUGGUACCGAACCCCUACACACUGCUGAGCCUCAUUCCGCCUACACAUGUAUGGUAUUCAGUUCUUGAUCUCAGAGAUGCAUUUUUCAGCCUGCCCCUGGCACCAGUAAGCCAGCCGCUCUUUGCAUUUGAAUGGACAGACCCGGGCACUGGAACUAUUGGACAAUUGACAUGGACUCAAUUCCCACAAGGCUUUAAGAUUUAAGAACUCCCCCACACUGUUCGGGGAGGCUCUCAGCAGAGAUCUACAAGAGGUAAGGAAAGCUUUUCCCUAUGCAACUGUUCUCCAGUAUGUAGACGACCUCUUAGUGGCGACCACAACCGAGAAAAAAUGUCUCACAGCCACCGAGGGACUCCUGGAGGCCCUACAAGGUCUGGGAUAUCCAUUGUCCUGGAAGAAAGCCCAGCUCUGCAAAACCAAGGUAACUUACUUGGGUUAUGUUCUUGAAAAAGGAAAAAGAAAGUUAGCUGAAUCCAGGGUGUCAGCGAUCCUUCAGAUCCCCACGCCCAGCUCAAAGAAGCAGGUGCAUGAGUUUCUGGGGGCCAUAGGAUACUGCAGAAUCUGUAUACCUAGCUUUGCUGAAAUUGCCACACCCCUGCAUGAGGCUAUGGAGGGGGGAACCGCACCCUUUGAAAUACUUUCACUGAUAGCCAUUAUGCUUUUGCUAUUGCCCAUGUACAUGGAGAAAUUUACCAGAAUAGAGGACUUUUAACAUCAGACGGGAAAGAGAUUAAAAACAAAGUUGAGAUAUUGGCUCUGCUGCAAGCUAUUUGGCUGCCAAGGGAGGUUGCCAUCAUUCACUGCCGUGGACAUCAAAGGAAUUCCAGCCCUGAAGUGAUUGGAAACAACACAGUUGACCAGGCAGCAAAGCAAGCUGCCCAAAAAUCAGUGGGGAAACAAAUGGUGCUGCUACCUACACCCGUGCUCCCAGAGAGGCCUGAAUACACAGAGGAAGAAAUAACGGAGAUGAGUAAGAACCACUGGACCAAAGGAAAGCAUGGAUGGUGGACGACAGAUGAAGGGAAGGUCGUUCCGCCAGCCGCGGUGGCUGACACCUUGCUAAAUGAGCUCCAUGAAUCCACCCACCUAGGAGAAAAGUGGAUGAUGGCCCUGCUACGGCCCCACUUUGUCAGCAGAGAAUUAGCCCAGAAGGCCCGGGACAAAGUGAGACGGUGCCCCACCUGCCUCAAGGUUUGACUCCAAGACCUUGGAACCACGGUGGAAGGGGCCUUUUCCAGUUGUCCUGUCUACU